AAUAACAUUCUCUCUUUGAAUAGGAGUUUCUUAUCUGCCAAAAGUUCGUAACACCCAGCCCUUACUAGUCUCCACGUUCUCACUCUGCUUUUUAGUUGGCUCACUUUGAAGGGAUAGUAUUUUUGCUUUCCCCUUUUGAAAUUUAUGCACAUGUUGAUGUAUCCUUGAUUUUUGUCGAACUUUAGUCUCCUCUUCUACCUUAUCUAUUUCUGGAGCAUAAUAAUCCUCCUUGAAUUAUGAUGUCUGCACUUCUGGGUACUAUGCCUUUGCAUUUUUUACAGACAUCACAAUAAAAAGGAACAUAAUCAUAUCUGAUAUGUAUCUCCUCCAUCCUUACUUCCUAAUAACAUCAUUUUCUAUAUCCAUAGUAAUUGAUUUGGGGAAGUCGCCUUUUAAGUCCACCAAAACUUUUACGCUAUCACAACUUGGUCUAGUUUUAUUAAUCGUGGCUAAGUUAAGUUGCAUUGGUUUACCUACUGUUGAUGCUAAAGAAAACAAACAUUAUUUAACAAAGUAAGUAGGUAAAAGGCUGGGAAAGAAUAU
rnacentral:lncRNA from 1 species